CUGUGACUGCAAUUGUAAGCACAAUUAAAUUGCCUUUGAGUACUAAGGAAACCUUCAACUCCUGUGUCCUUUAAUGGCAGAUACCUUCAUGACUAUUUUGUCUGCCUAAAAAAGAGGAAUAAAUCAGAGCUACAAUUACUGUGAUAAAAGAGCAUGAACUUUAGACAACUUGUAAGUGUAUUCUCAAUAUCUUUGAAAGGACUUUGUUUGAAGAAUUAUAUUACCAUAUAGUAUGCCCCCACCCCAUACCACCUGAAGAAACUGUAUCAGUCUAUCAUCACAGGUAAGUGGUUUUUCAAAAAAACAAAUUACCAUUUUUUCUUGUUCUAUAAA